rnacentral:rRNA from 1 species
GUCUAUGGCCAUACCACCAUGAACGUGCCCACUAUCAUCUGAUCUCAGAAGCUAAGCAGGGUCGGGCCUGGUUAGCACUUGGAUGGGAAAUCAGGUAUAUGUCUUGAUGGGUUGGCA